AUUUGGUCAAACUAGAUUUCUCUUCGUUCUCUUCCUUCAAGCUGAUGUUAGAAAUAUUGGCGUCGUUCUCAGGUGAUCCAACUUUGACAGUUCGACUGGGCUCUGUUGGUGCUUGACUGGUGAAGGUAUUCGUUGCUACUGGUGUUUCGUUUGAUGCUGGAAAGAGUCUUCCCUCAAUCGAUUCACUCAUCGAGUAGUGGACCAAUAAUUUUCAAUAUCGACGUCAAUCUUCUUGAUAUCCGGCCUGAUUUGAAUACAUUCGCCUAGAAUUCACCAUAGAGACACAGAAUUAGGCUGAAAGACAAACUCUCGGAACGGCCGUCAUUUAAUCCAAUGUGUUUUCCAUGACGAUGGAAACAUCUUCCAGUUUUUGGUCGUCCCUCCACGUACCACUGGAAGGGCGGAACUGUUCCGAUCCGGCCGCAAAGUCUUAACACAAAAAAGUGUCACGGUGUAGUAUUCCUUUGUACAGCCAUCCACAUCGGCCAAUCGACUCCGGACAUCCACUCUCAUUGUGACUGAGUACGACGGAAGAGCGGACUCACCUGUGAAUAUGUACAGACAAGAGGAUAAUUCCGCCCGGUGAAGAAAUGCGACGAUUCGUGGAACGAGAGUCGAUCGAAUAUCAAAGGGACAUGGAUUGUUCCUCCACACGUAUCUGUUUUUCAAAUUUGGAUUAUUUACUAUAACCCCUUUUUAUAUUCAAAUGUAGACAAACCAAAAAAUAGGCUAACGAUGGCCUAUUUUUAAUAUCAGUCCAUCGACCAGCCAAAUUAAUAGCCAUUAGCCACGAUUUUAUGUCAGAAACUGAGUUCAACAAUUUCGAAAACCAAUAUUUUUGCGCGCGUGUAAUGAUGAAUUAUUGGUUGAAAAGUUGAAUUUUUUAAUUUUCCCGUUCCGGCUCAACACGAAAUUGGCGUUUCCUAUCCUAUCCUAGUAGGUUUUUCUUUUAGGUUAAAUCUUCUUUUUACCGUUAUGAGUAAAAACUGUACUCAACUCUGAAGCGACGAGUAGGUGGCACUAUAAACAUUCUUCUGGGGCCAGUUUCAGAAAGGUGAUGCCCUUAUUCAGUACAAACUGCUUUAAAAUAUGCACAAUCUCUUGAUGCUAAUUGAAAUGUCUACCUUCUGGCCACGAAGUCACACCAAGAGACACAAUACUCAGGAGAAUGUGAAUUUUGUUGCGAGUCUAUUUCUCUUAAAUUUUUUUCCUAUGAACAUGGGCUUAUAGUCAGCGAGAACUCGUCUACAAUACAACCAAUCGUAAUCGCGUAGUGUAUAACAGAAAGUUUGGAAAAUGGUUGAUUUAAGUAAACACAGCUGCUUUCGUUCCGAUCCGAUCUCCGUUGUUUAUUUAACUUUUUAAUUCGAUUUGAAGGAACUUAUUAUGAAAGAUUCUGACAGGUAAUGUCAGGUCAAUUAACUUAAGAAUCAAAACUCAUUACUAGAUGUCGCCAGUGUCGC